rnacentral:rRNA from 1 species
GAUGAACGCUGGCGGCGUGCCUAAUACAUGCCAGUCGAGCGAACAGACGAGGAGCUUGCUCCUCUGACGUUAGCGGCGGACGGGUGAGUAACACGUGGAUAACCUACCUAUAAGACUGGGAUAACUUCGGGAAACCGGAGCUAAUACCGGAUAAUAUAUUGAACCGCAUGGUUCAAUAGUGAAAGACGGUUUUGCUGUCACUUAUAGAUGGAUCCGCGCCGCAUUAGCUAGUUGGUAAGGUAACGGCUUACCAAGGCAACGAUGCGUAGCCGACCUGAGAGGGUGAUCGGCCACACUGGAACUGAGACACGGUCCAGACUCCUACGGGAGGCAGCAGGAGGGAAUCUUCCGCAAUGGGCGAAAGCCUGACGGAGCAACGCCGCGUGAGUGAUGAAGGUCUUCGGAUCGUAAAACUCUGUUAUUAGGGAAGAACAAAUGUGUAAGUAACUAUGCACGUCUUGACGGUACCUAAUCAGAAAGCCACGGCUAACUACGU